rnacentral:rRNA from 1 species
AAACUUUCAACAACGGAUCUCUUGGCUCUGGCAUCGAUGAAGAACGCAGCGAAAUGCGAUACGUAAUGUGAAUUGCAGAAUCCAGUGAAUCAUCGAAUCUUUGAACGCACAUUGCGCCCGCCAGCAUUCUGGCGGGCAUGCCUGUUCGAGCGUCA